CCUAGGUGAGGCAGCAGUGGGGAAUAUUGGGCAAUGGGCGCAAGCCUGACCCAGCAACGCCGCGUGAAGGAAGAAGGCUUUCGGGUUGUAAACUUCUUUUCUGAGGGACGAAGAAAAUGACGGUACCUGACUAAGAAGCCCCGGCUAAAUACGUGCCAGCAGCCGCGGUAAUACGUAUGGGGCAAGCGUUAUCCGGCUGUACUGGGUGUAAAGGGAGCGCAGGCGGCCUGCCAAGGCUGGUGUGAAAACCCGGGGCCCAACCCCGGGCCUGCAUUGGAAACUGGCGGGCUGGAGUGUCGGAGGGGCAGGCGGAAUUCCUAGUGGAGCGGUGAAAUGCGGAGAUAUUAGGAGGAACACCGGUGGCGAAGGCGGCCUGCUGGACGAUGACUGACGCGGAGGCUCGAAAGCGUGGGGAGCAAACAGGAUUAGAUACCCUAAUAGUC
rnacentral:rRNA from 1 species